GCGUCAAAGCGUACAACAAAAGCUUAAUUCAAACCAAACCUAAGCCUCCCCUGAUUCUCAAACCCGGAGCCACCCCAUUAACCAAUGGGGACACCCCUGCUAAAACUAGUAAUAAGAAACACUCUCCCCGCACCCCUCUCAAUCAGAAAUAGAUAAACUACUGAAAAUUACCAAACCAUCACAAGAACCCCAUACCCUUCUCUCCACUAAACUCUGUAACCCCAACACAGGAGUGCUAAAAGGAAAGAUUAAAAGCCUGACAAGGAACUCAGCUAAUAGAGCCCAACUGUUUACCAAAAACAUAGCCUUUAGCCUCACAAGUAUUAAAGGUCCUGCCUGCCCAGUGAACUAUUUUUAACGGCCGCGGUAUCCUAACCGUGCAAAGGGGCACCGUGCAAAGGUAGCGUAAUCAUUUGUCCUCUAAAUAAGGACUCGUAUGAACGGCUAACUGAGGUUCUAACUGUCUCAUCAGGCCUAUCAAUGAAACUGAUCUUUCAGUACAAAAGCUGAAAUAAAAACAUAAGACGAGAAGACCCUGUGGAGCUUUAAACUAAUACUAUAAACCACACCACACCCCACCACGGAGCACAACUUAAGCCAAUAGUAAAAAUUUUAGUUGGGGCGACUUUGGAAACAAAACAAACUUCCAUGCCAGGGACCUUCCCUAUCAAGGCUCACAGGCCAAAACAACUCUUAUUGACCCAGCUUCCAGCUGAGCAAC
rnacentral:rRNA from 1 species